UACGUAGGGUGCAAGCGUUGUCCGGAAUUAUUGGGCGUAAAGCGCGUGUAGGCGGCUUGUUAAGUCGGGUGUGAAAGCCCUCAGCUCAACUGAGGAAGGGCGCCCGAAACUGGCGAGCUUGAGUGUCGGAGAGGAUGGCGGAAUACCCCAAGUAGAGGUGAAAUUCGUAGAUAUGGGGUGGAACACCGGUGGCGAAGGCGGCCAUCUGGACGACAACUGACGCUGAGACGCGAAAGCGUGGGGGAGCAAACAGG
rnacentral:rRNA from 1 species